rnacentral:lncRNA from 1 species
GAGCUGGUGACAAACAGAACUGUGGAGCUUCUGCGUUUGUCCGGGGAGGACGGUGGUGUUGGUGGAGUGUAGUCAGGGAGGAGCUUCAGGACGCCAGGGCUCCAUCUGCUGCAACAAGGACUGACCACCCUCCACACACUCAGGACCUGGACUGGGCUUUGGUGAAGCCUAUUCCUGAGCCCAGGAAAGAGAGGACCUGGCCUCUUUCAGAGGCCAACUAGUGCUAAGAUGGCAGCCAGACAGCAGAGGGUCUCCUCUGCCGCUUCAGGACCUGACUUCCUAAACUCAGCCGCGAGCUCACUGCUGGCCAGGUGGCCCUAGACCCUGGGCUCUGUGAGAAGGGGGACCUAGCCUCCCCUGCCAACAGCUGAUCAAACCAACAAUCAGCACCAGUGCAUGGGUAGCACAGAGAACUCAUCCCCAUAGAGACUGGCGCUAACUCUCCUCUCCAGUGGGCUCCUCCAGUGGUCAGGAACACUCAGCUGUCUCUCUGCAGAGCAUGCUGUCACUCAGCCGCAGGCCUCUGCCUCUGGUAGGGAUGGGAACUUUUCUUGCCCCUCUGGGAGUAGGGAGAGCCUGAUGAGGACAUGGAAGGUCAGGCAUCUUCCCAGGGGUCACUUGGAAAGGACACCAAGCCAGCCCCAGCAUCACAGUGCCCUCAAGUGGACACGUGUGAGCACAGCUCUCCUUCAGGCCCCCAUCGGGAUGGCUCUGCCACGGCCAGUGCAGGUCAGAGCCCUCCUACCCUAG